UUUCAAAAUAUUCUUAAAUUAUGUUUAUUCAGUGAGAAACUACCAUCUGAUUUGGACAAGUUUUCUCUUCCUAAGUCAUUUGAUUGAAGGCACACCCUCACAGCAUGCAUUUAUCAUUAGCAUUAGCAUUUUUCACAUGACUUAAUACCAUGUUUCCUUUUCCCACAUGGAAUAUUACCCAACCGAAGUCCCCAAAAGGAACCACCAUAUAUUUAUUACAAAGAGAGAAAAGAAAACUGUAUUUCAAUUUCUGCUUUCCAAUAUGAUGGUUUAACUAAAACAAAACAGAAUUUAAUCAAAUAUGAAAUAAAAAAUGAAAAUCAGUUUAUGCAUACAUCAUGACCAUGAUCAUUAACACCGUCAUAAAAUGAGGGGAGAAAAGAGAGAAGCAUCUGAUUCUUCUUAUGAAACUUCUAUAUGACUUCAAAUUUUAUUUCAAAAAGAUUAUUUCUUUAGAAGGCAUUCUCCUGCCUGUGAUGUAUGAAUAUUGGGUGUCUUCUCAGGCCAUCCCUGGGCAAGCAGAUGAAAGCAAGUGUAUGUGAAAUGGAAACGGUACCCCUCCCAGGCUCCUGGUGUACACACACAGGAGGCGUUUUGAUUUCUAAUCUUGGCUCAGAUAAGAAAGAACAAAAGGGAAGAGUUACAUUCCUUGGGGGGGGGGGGCGAUGCAGCCUAUUUGAGGACAUAUCAGUCCAUUCAAGUACUCAGACUUAGUCCUCCUAGCUUGCAGAGUUUUCAGUACCCUGAAAAUCUCCCUCCAAGAUUCCUCUACUCCACGGUCUUCUGAGUGUAGUUAUUGUAUCCACAAACAAAUAAUGUCACACAUUAGAGGAUUUGGAGCUUCCCAAGGAACAACCAGGUCUGGUUAUGUUUAGAUUUAAGACAUCUAUGACAGAUCUUCUCAGCAACCACUUUCUAACUUUGGGAGCCAAAUAUGCCUGAAUUCCCAGCAUCCAGAUUUCAGUGGAUGGAAAUCAUAUCAAAAAAGCAAAGUCCCAGAAGCUAGAGAGGUAAAAAGAAAACAAAGAUGGGGGUGGAUCUCCUAAAAAUCAAAGGAAGAUCAGUAGAAGAAAG
rnacentral:lncRNA from 1 species